AUCCCAUGGUGAGGACACUUCCUAAGCAUCUCCUUGAAUCGUUCCCAUGCUUCAUACAAGGAUUCCCUCUCUAAUUGAGCAAAA
rnacentral:snoRNA from 1 species